AUUGAACGCUAGCGGGAUGCUUUACACAUGCAAGUCGAACGGCAGCGCGGACUUCGGUCUGGCGGCGAGUGGCGAACGGGUGAGUAAUGUAUCGGAACGUGCCCAGUAGCGGGGGAUAACUACGCGAAAGCGUAGAUAAUACCGCAUACGCCCUACGGGGGAAAGCAGGGGAUCGUAAGACCUUGCACCAUUGGAGCGGCCGAUAUCGGAUUAGCUAGUUGGUGAGGUAACGGCUCACCAAGGCGACGAUCCGUAGCUGGUUUGAGAGGACGACCAGCCACACUGGGACUGAGACACGGCCCAGACUCCUACGGGAGGCAGCAGUGGGGAAUUUUGGACAAUGGGGGCAAGCCUGAUCCAGCCAUCCCGCGUGGGCGAUGAAGGCCUUCGGGUUGUAAAGCACUUUUGGCAGGAAAGAAACGUAGCAGGCUAAUACCCCGUGGAACUGACGGUACCUGCAGAAUAAGCACCGGCUAACUUCGUG
rnacentral:rRNA from 1 species